CUUAAACAAACGCUUGUCGGAAGAACGUAAGUCUGAAUACGCAAUAGGCUUAUAUUUUUUCUCUCAAGCGUCACUUUUUCCCCCAUUAUCAGAGUUGCAAACUCUGACCGGUUAGUGCGUGCCCCCACCUCUUCGGUGUUCUCGGUGCUAGCUGUUCUCUGCUCUCUGAGUGAGGGACUAAAAAUAAAUCCCUCAAAGUUGAGAAGCAGCUCGCUCUUUUUUGUUACUCUUCGUCUUUCAAGUUGUGAGUACUCUCUUAAGUGCGAAAUGAUUAGCUACGUGUACAAGUGCAAAGUUUGAGUAGCCAGUAGGGAUUAAACUAAAGGGUUGAACUAGAGUAAAACGACCCGAUUGAAGAGGUGCAAGUCGACAAGAACAGAUCAAACACCGGUGAGUCAUCUUCAGUGAAGUUCUGAGUACAAUAUAGGCGGAUAUAAUUGGCACAAUUAUUGAACAAAAGUGAGAAGUAAAAAUUAGUUUUAAGACAUAUUUCAAAUCCGACCAUCACUCGUGCUCGAAUUAACGACGAAAAAAAAUUAAAUCAAGGUGUUAAAAUACUGAGUAGUCAAGUGUGUCACAUCGUCAAGACCGAGACAAAGUCAGUAGAAAACGUUAUAUUCAAAGAAUUAAAGAUCAUGGAUACGAUUAGAAGUGAAUACACACAAAAAAUACAGACUCCAUUACAACAAUUUUAUGCAGGUCAAACUAUUUUUAUCACAGGGGCUACUGGAUUUAUCGGAGCAGUCUUACUUGAAAAAUUGCUGAGGAGUUGUACCAAUAUUUGUAAAAUUUAUCUGUUAAUACGUCCGAAGAAAAACCAAAAUAUCGAAAGUAGACUGGACGAAUUAAUUGAAAAUCGAUUAUUCGAUCGAGUAAAGAGAGAAGUGCCAAAUUUUCGACAUAAAAUUGU